GAUGAAGAACGUAGCGAAAUGCGAUAAGUAAUGUGAAUUGCAGAAUUCAGUGAAUCAUCGAAUCUUUGAACGCACAUUGCGCCCGCCAGUAUUCUGGCGGGCAUGCCUGUUCGAGCGUCAUUUCAACCAUCAAGCCCCGGGCUUGUGUUGGGGACCUGCGGCUGCCGCAGGCCCUGAAAUGCAGUGGCGGGCUCGCUGUCACUCCGAGCGUAGUAGUUACAUCUCGCUCUGGGCGUGCUGCGGGUUCCGGCCGUUAAAAGCCUUAUUUACCCAAGGUUGACCUCGGAUCAGGUAGGAAGACCCGCUGAACUUAAGCAUAUCGAUAAGCGGAGGA
rnacentral:misc_RNA from 1 species